CGCAUUGAUGGACACUUAAGGUUGUUUCCUUAUCUUGGCUGUUCUGAAUAAUGUUGCAAUAAAUGGGUAUGUAAAUAUCUCUCUGCGAUACUGAUUUCAUUUCUUUUAGAUAUAUACUGAAAAGAUACCUGGAUCACAUGGUUCUUUAUUUUCAGUUUUAUUGAGGAAUUACCAUACUGCUUUCCACGUGGCUGCACCAAUUUAUAUUCCCACCAACAUUGCAUGAGGGUUCCCUUUCCUCAGUCCAUUUGCCAACACUUAUGUUUUAGACAAUAGGAGUUCUGAAAAGUGUAAAGGGAUAUCUGACUGUAGGUUGGAUUUGCAUUUCCAUGAUGACUAAUAACGUUGAAAAUCUUUUCAUGUACUUGUUAGGCCAUCUGUAAGACUUUGGAAAAAUGUCUAUUCAGAUCCUCUGCUCAUUUUUAGUUAGACUUUUUGUUAUUGCUAUGGAGUUGUAUGAGUGGAUAAUGAUCCCUUUUUUGGAUAUUAACCCCUUUUUAAAUAAUAUGAUUUGCAAAUACCUUCUCCCAUUCAGUAGAUUGCCUCUUUGUUUACUUGAUUUACUUCACUAUGCAGACGUUUUUAGUUUAAUGUAAUCUCAUUUAUUUUUCCUUUUGUUUCCCUUGCCUUUAGAGUCAGAUUCAAAAGACAUCAGUAAGACCAAUGUCAAAGAGUUCAGUACUGAUGGUUCUUCUGGUAGUUUUAUAGUUUCAGAUCUUGUAUUUAAGUCUUAGUCCAUUUGAGUUGAUUUUUAAAUACAGUACAAGAUAAUGGUCCAAUUUUCCCAACACCAUUUGUUGAAGAGACUCUCCUUUCCCGAUUGCAUAUUUUUGCUUUCUCUGUCAUAAAUCAAUUGACUAUAUAUGUGUAGGUUUAUUUUUAGACUUUUCAUUAUGUUCCAUUGAUCUAUAUGUCUGUUUUUGUGACAAUAUCUAUUGUUUUGAUUACUAUAACUUUGUAGUAUAGUUUGGGAUCGGGGAGUGCAAUACAUUCAGCAUUGUUCUUUCUAAAGAUCGGCUAUUCAGGGAUUUUUGAAGUUCCAUAUUAUUUUUAUGAUUAUUUGUUCUAGUUUCUGUGAAAAACUAGAUUGGUACUUUGAUAGGAAUUGCAUUGAACAUAUAGAUUCCUUUGGAAGUGGGGACAUUUUAACCAUACCGCUUCCUCUAAUCCAUGAGCAUGAAAUAUUUUUCCAUUUUUUGCGUCAUCUUUCAUUACUUUCACCAGUGUUUUAUAGUUUUCAGAGUACAGGUAUUUUACCUCCUUGGUUAAAUUUAUUUCUAUGUAUGUUAUUCUUUUGAUGAGAUUAUAAACAGGAUGGUUUUCUUGAUUUCUCUGAUAGUUCAUUAUUAGUGUAUAGAAACACAAGAGAUUCAUAAAUAUUAAUUUUGUAUCCAGAAACUUUAUUGAAUCCAUUUAUUACUUCUAACAGUUUCUUGGUGGAGUCUUUAGGGUUUUCUAUAUAGUAUCAUGUCACCUGCAAAUAGUGACAGUUUUACUUCUUCCUUUAUAAUUUGGAUGCCUUUUAUUUAUUUUUCUUGCCUAAUUGCUCUGGCUAGAACUUCCAAUACUUUGUUGAAUAAAAACUAAAAGAGUGGGG
rnacentral:lncRNA from 1 species